UAUAUACUCCCUCCGUUUGAAAUUACUUGUCGCAAAAAUGGAUGUAUUUAGACGUAUUUUAGUUCUAAAUACAUCCAUUUCUGAGACAAGUAAUUCCGAACGGAGGGAGUAGCUG
rnacentral:pre_miRNA from 1 species